rnacentral:rRNA from 1 species
UACGUAGGGUGCAAGCGUUAAUCGGAAUUACUGGGCGUAAAGCGUGCGCAGGCGGUUAUGCAAGACAGAUGUGAAAUCCCCGGGCUCAACCUGGGAACUGCAUUUGUGACUGCAUGGCUGGAGUGCGGCAGAGGGGGAUGGAAUUCCGCGUGUAGCAGUGAAAUGCGUAGAUAUGCGGAGGAACACCGAUGGCGAAGGCAAUCCCCUGGGCCUGCACUGACGCUCAUGCACGAAAGCGUGGGGAGCAAAAGGG